GACAGCAAGCAUAUUACCCUGCAACUGGCAGUCCACUGAAGCUAAGCAGGUGUGAGCCUGGUCAGUACCUGUAUGGGAGACCUCCUGGGGAAAACUAAGGUUGCUGCUGGAA
rnacentral:rRNA from 1 species